AACCAGCAUAUUGGCCAAAUAUCUGAAAUAAAGAUACUAUGUAUUUAAAUAUACUUUAAAUGUGUGUAUUUUCUUAUUACGUAUGUGAGUUGCAGGGCAAGUUAACUGUAGGGUUACGCGGGAAAGCGCAAAUCGGGGCUGGGCGAGAGCUAUGUCCAGUGACGUAUCAUCUCCUUCUGUGUUGGAAGUUGUUACUGUUGUGGGCAAAGCGGUUUGCGCAGGCGCGGCACUGACAGCCGCUCUCUACUUGAUCCGCAGAUUGUGUUUAAUGAUGGCCUGGAAAUCAGGAGGAGCCAGCCACGCCGAGCUCGUCAACAACCUCCGCAAAAAUGGGAUCAUCAAAUCAGACAAUGUCUACGAGGUCAUGUUGGCUACUGACCGAGCCCACUUCUCCAGAUGCAACCCUUACAUGGACUCUCCCCAGUCAAUAGGUUACCAAGCAACUAUCAGUGCUCCCCAUAUGCACGCCUAUGCCCUGGAGCUACUGCACGACCAGCUACACGAAGGGGCGAAAGCUCUGGACGUGGGGUCAGGCAGCGGUAUCCUCUCCGUGUGUUUUGCAAGAAUGGUGGGUCCCAAGGGGAAGGUAAUAGGAAUCGAUCACAUUCAGGAGCUGGUAGAUGACUCAGUAAACAAUGUGAAAAAGCACGACGCCAGCCUGAUAACCUCAGGCAGGGUGAAGCUGGUCGUGGGGGAUGGGCGAUUGGGCUACGAGUCGGAGGCACCCUACGACGCCAUCCAUGUCGGAGCGGCAGCACCUACCGUGCCACAGGCACUGCUGGACCAGCUUAAGCCGGGCGGGAGGCUGAUUCUGCCCGUGGGCCCGGCCGGGGGGAACCAGACGCUGGAGCAGUACGACAAAAUGGAGGACGGGAGCACCAAAAUGAAGCCCCUGAUGGGGGUGAUUUACGUGCCUUUAACAGACAAAGACAAGCAGUGGUCCAGGUGGAAGUGACUUCCUACUCCCUCUCUCCCCCCUCCUUCCCAGGGUGGCAAAGGUGAAAGGGAUGAACUGUGAAGUCGGAGAGCAUAAGUAUCCUGCAUUUCAGUCUGAACCUGGAAUGAGCUUCUCAAGGUUCAGCAGCUAUUGGAUUUCAACGAAAACAUCAAUAACCAACACAUCGGAACAGUUUCUUUCUUUUCUUCGGGUUGGGUUGGUGGAUGGGCUGGGAAGGAUUUUCAUGCUUAAUUAUAAGUAUAGUGCUGAGGGACAACCCAGAGUGCAAGAAAAUGGAUUGGUAGUUAUUAACAAAAAGUUAGGAGGUUGAGUUUGUUGUAAUGCCUGCAUUUUGUUGUUGUGAAAUAUAAUUUUUUUUCUUUUUUUGUUUUCCUGUUUUUGAAAUGGACGCAGGGUUUCUGUGGUUAGAUGAAUAAACAAGUCAAAACCACAUUCUACAUACAUGUUCAGCUCCAUAAAGCUAAAGACGAGAGACCAGUUUUCUUAUUGCCAGGUUGUUUUGAUGUGUUAAGCCUUUCAAAUGCAUAUUAGGUGUCCACAUAGCCAGAGUGUGCAUCCAAAAAAAUGUAGAUAUCUGUAUUGGUCUGCGCUAAUAUUUAAAUGUUUCUGCUUUUUUUUUUUUUGGUUCCCAGCUAACAGUAUUUAAAUAGAACAGCACAACGGCUGAUUUUCUUGUCCAACGUGGUAUCUAAUUGCUUGAAAUGCAGCACACGAUGACCCCCAGUGUUUGCAGUGGCAUUGUAGAUAUCUCUCACUCUCGUACAGUCGGCAACGCAGGCAGGCUCCUCCCACCCUCCCUUGCAGGGGCGAAUGGCACGCAUGCCCCUGGCUGCGCUUUCACUCCGACGCACCGGAUUGGCCGCAGUGUCUGGUCUCCAUCACCGCAUUCUGUGCAGGCUUCUCACUAGCGAGUGACACUAAAACAAAGAGCAGCUUUGCAAAAAAAAUUAUAAUAAACCUUCGUGCAAAGCAUAUGUCUUCUGUUUUUCUUUUUUGUUCUAUGUUCUCUCUGUGAGUUUUAGAGCAUAUUACCUUGGAGGCUUAGAAGAUGUGUUGCUUCAAGGGGUGUACACUGUUUAUGGAAUUGCAAGUGGCUUUAAAUAAAAAAAAAAAGCUCAUCUUA